rnacentral:rRNA from 1 species
AAAAGCCCAGCAGCGAGUUGACAUGGUGCCCGUACCCCAAACCAACACAGGUGGACAGGUAGAGCAUACCAAGGCGAGUGGGAUAACUAUGGUUAAGGAACUCGGCAAAUUGCCUCCGUAACUUCGGGAGAAGGAGGACCCCAGUAGCGUGAUGAGACUUGCUCUCUGAGCGUGAAGGGGUGGCACAAAAUUGAGGGAAGCGACUGUUUACCAAAAACACAGCAGCGUGCUAAGCCGUAAGGCGCUGUAUACGCUGUGACUCCUGCCCGGUGCUGGAAGGUUACGGGGAUGGGUUAGUCCUUCGGGACGAAGCUCUGAACCUAAGCCCCAGUAAACGGCGGCCGUAACUAUAACGGUCCUAAGGUAGCGAAAUUCCUUGUCGGGUAAGUUCCGACCUGCACGAAUGGAGUAACGACUUCCCUACUGUCUCAACCAUAGACCCAGCGAAAUUGAAGUACGAGUAAAGAUGCUCGUUAGCUGCAGAAGGACGGAAAGACCCCGUGGACCUUUACUAUAACUUGAUGUUGUGUUUUGUCAUAUGUUGUGUAGGAUAGGUGGGAGACUUGGAAGCAUGGACGCUGGUCUGUGUGGAGUCAUCGUUGAAAUACCACCCUGCAUAUGGUGAGGCUCUAACCUAGACCCGUUAUCCGGGUCGGGGACAGCGUCAGGCGGGUAGUUUAACUGGGGCGGUUGCCUCCUAAAGAGUAACGGAGGCGCCCAAAGGUUCCCUCAGCCUGGUUGGCAAUCAGGCGUUGAGUGCAAUGGCAAAAGGGAGCUUGACUGCGAGACCUACAAGUCGAGCAGGAGCGAAAGCUGGGCAUAGUGAUCCGGCGGUUGCGUGUGGAAGCGCCGUCGCUCAACGGAUAAAAGGUACCCCGGGGAUAACAGGCUAAUCUUGCCCAAGCGUCCAUAGCGACGGCAAGGUUUGGCACCUCGAUGUCGGCUCAUCGCAUCCUGGGGCUGAAGCAGGUCCCAAGGGUUGGGCUGUUCGCCCAUUAAAGCGGUACGCGAGCUGGGUUCAGAACGUCGUGAGACAGUUCGGUCCCUAUCCUCUGCAGCCGGAGGUGAAUUGAGGAAAGCUGUCCCUAGUACGAGAGGACCGGGACGGACGCAGCUCUCGUGUGCCAGUUGUCCUGCCAAGGGCAUGGCUGGUUAGCGACCUGCGGAAAGGAUAACCGCUGAAAGCAUCUAAGCGGGAAGCCUCUUCCAAGAUGAAUUCACCCACAGGGUUAACCUGGUAAGGCCCGUGGUAGACCACCACGUUGAUAGGCCGGAAGUGUAAGCGUGGCAACACGUUCAGCUGACCGGUACUAAUCGGCCGAGGGCUUGAGUC